rnacentral:rRNA from 1 species
GGGUUGUGAGGUUAAGCGACUAAGCGUACACGGUGGAUGCCCUGGCAGUCAGAGGCGAUGAAGGGCGUGCUAAUCUGCGAUAAGCGCCGGUAAGGUGAUAUGAACCGUUAUAACCGGCGAUACCCGAAUGGGGAAACCCAGUGUGACUCGUCACACUAUCAUUAACUGAAUCCAUAGGUUAAUGAGGCGAACCGGGGGAACUGAAACAUCUAAGUACCCCGAGGAAAAGAAAUCAACCGAGAUUCCCCCAGUAGCGGCGAGCGAACGGGGAGGAGCCCAGAGCCUGAAUCAGCAUGUGUGUUAGUGGAAGCGUCUGGAAAGGCGCGCGAUACAGGGUGACAGCCCCGUACACAAAAGCGCAUGUGCUGUGAGCUCGAUGAGUAGGGCGGGACACGUGGUAUCCUGUCUGAAUAUGGGGGGACCAUCCUCCAAGGCUAAAUACUCCUGACUGACCGAUAGUGAACCAGUACCGUGAGGGAAAGGCGAAAAGAACCCCGGCGAGGGGAGUGAAAAAGAACCUGAAACCGUGUACGUACAAGCAGUGGGAGCCCCACCACUAAGCCAGUGGUGAACUCCACAUACGCAUCCUUUGCUGAGGAUACGGUUAACGGAGCGAAAGCGACGUUCAACCUCAAAAGAAGCAGAGGGGGCUUAGUGGUGGGGUGACUGCGUACCUUUUGUAUAAUGGGUCAGCGACUUAUAUUCUGUAGCAAGGUUAACCGAAUAGGGGAGCCGGAGGGAAACCGAGUCUUAACCGGGCGUUAAGUUGCAGGGUAUAGACCCGAAACCCGGUGAUCUAGCCAUGGGCAGGUUGAAGGUUGGGUAACACUAACUGGAGGACCGAACCGACUAAUGUUGAAAAAUUAGCGGAUGACCUGUGGCUGGGGGUGAAAGGCCAAUCAAACCGGGAGAUAGCUGGUUCUCCCCGAAAGCUAUUUAGGUAGCGCCUCGUGAAUUCAUCUCCGGGGGUAGAGCACUGUUUCGGCUAGGGGGCCAUCCCGGCUUACCAACCCGAUGCAAACUGCGAAUACCGGAGAAUGUUAUCACGGGAGACACACGGCGGGUGCUAACGUCCGUCGUGAAGAGGGAAACAACCCAGACCGCCAGCUAAGGUCCCAAAGUCAUGGUUAAGUGGGAAACGAUGUGGGAAGGCCCAGACAGCCAGGAUGUUGGCUUAGAAGCAGCCAUCAUUUAAAGAAAGCGUAAUAGCUCACUGGUCGAGUCGGCCUGCGCGGAAGAUGUAACGGGGCUAAACCAUGCACCGAAGCUGCGGCAGCGACACUGAUGUGUUGUUGGGUAGGGGAGCGUUCUGUAAGCCUGUGAAGGUGGCCUGUGAGGGUUGCUGGAGGUAUCAGAAGUGCGAAUGCUGACAUAAGUAACGAUAAAGCGGGUGAAAAGCCCGCUCGCCGGAAGACCAAGGGUUCCUGUCCAACGUUAAUCGGGGCAGGGUGAGUCGACCCCUAAGGCGAGGCCGAAAGGCGUAGUCGAUGGGAAACGGGUUAAUAUUCCCGUACUUGGUGUUACUGCGAAGGGGGGACGGAGAAGGCUAUGUUGGCCGGGCGACGGUUGUCCCGGUUUAAGCGUGUAGGUGUGUGUUCCAGGUAAAUCCGGUUCACUUUAACACUGAGGCGUGAUGACGAGGCACUACGGUGCUGAAGCAACAAAUGCCCUGCUUCCAGGAAAAGCCUCUAAGCAUCAGGUAACAUCAAAUCGUACCCCAAACCGACACAGGUGGUCAGGUAGAGAAUACCAAGGCGCUUGAGAGAACUCGGGUGAAGGAACUAGGCAAAAUGGUGCCGUAACUUCGGGAGAAGGCACGCUGACACGUAGGUGAAGUGAUUUACUCAUGGAGCUGAAGUCAGUCGAAGAUACCAGCUGGCUGCAACUGUUUAUUAAAAACACAGCACUGUGCAAACACGAAAGUGGACGUAUACGGUGUGACGCCUGCCCGGUGCCGGAAGGUUAAUUGAUGGGGUUAUCCGUAAGGAGAAGCUCUUGAUCGAAGCCCCGGUAAACGGCGGCCGUAACUAUAACGGUCCUAAGGUAGCGAAAUUCCUUGUCGGGUAAGUUCCGACCUGCACGAAUGGCGUAAUGAUGGCCAGGCUGUCUCCACCCGAGACUCAGUGAAAUUGAACUCGCUGUGAAGAUGCAGUGUACCCGCGGCAAGACGGAAAGACCCCGUGAACCUUUACUAUAGCUUGACACUGAACACUGGUCCUUGAUGUGCAGGAUAGGUGGGAGGCUUUGAAGCGCGGACGCCAGUUCGUGUGGAGCCAUCCUUGAAAUACCACCCUUUAAUGGCUGGUGUUCUAACGUAGACCCGUGAUCCGGGUUGCGGACAGUGUCUGGUGGGUAGUUUGACUGGGGCGGUCUCCUCCUAAAGAGUAACGGAGGAGCACGAAGGUUAGCUAAUCCUGGUCGGACAUCAGGAGGUUAGUGCAAAGGCAUAAGCUAGCUUGACUGCGAGCGUGACGGCGCGAGCAGGUGCGAAAGCAGGUCUUAGUGAUCCGGUGGUUCUGAAUGGAAGGGCCAUCGCUCAACGGAUAAAAGGUACUCCGGGGAUAACAGGCUGAUACCGCCCAAGAGUUCAUAUCGACGGCGGUGUUUGGCACCUCGAUGUCGGCUCAUCACAUCCUGGGGCUGAAGUAGGUCCCAAGGGUAUGGCUGUUCGCCAUUUAAAGUGGUACGCGAGCUGGGUUUAGAACGUCGUGAGACAGUUCGGUCCCUAUCUGCCGUGGGCGCUGGAGAACUGAGGGGGGCUGCUCCUAGUACGAGAGGACCGGAGUGGACGCAUCACUGGUGUUCGGGUUGUCAUGCCAAUGGCACUGCCCGGUAGCUAAAUGCGGAAGAGAUAAGUGCUGAAAGCAUCUAAGCACGAAACUUGCCCCGAGAUGAGUUCUCCCUGAGACUUAGAGUCUCCUGAAGGAACGUUGAAGACGACGACGUUGAUAGGCCGGGUGUGUAAGCGCAGCGAUGCGUUGAGCUAACCGGUACUAAUGAACCGUGAGGCUUAACCUUACAACGCCGAAG